CCUGGCGGCACUAGCGCGGUGGUCCCACCUGACCCCAUGCCGAACUCAGAAGUGAAACGCCGUAGCGCCGAUGGUAGUGUGGGGUCUCCCCAUGCUAGAGUAGGGAACUGCCAGGC
rnacentral:rRNA from 2 species